AUUACAAUUAGUAAGCAAGAAUGGGGCUGGACCCCACGACAUCAUGAAAAAAAAAAGGUGGCAUUAAAAUAUGCAGAUGGGAGUGAUGAGUCAUGCACAUUAAAGUGCAUAAUGACACGUACAAAAGAAAGGAUGCUGAAUCCCUUUCUCUUUUUAAGCAUUCAAACUUAAAUCUUUCCCAUUUUGCCAUAAUAACAAACGUACCACACCAUUAUUUUCUCUCUAGCUAAUUAUUUUGUUGUUUCAAUAUGCAAGGAAGCAACAACGUGACUUCCAUUUAUAUGGAAACAACGCAGUUUUGAAUUGAUAGAGCACCAACGUGACUUGGUAUUUUACGGAAGAAAAAUGUAAUUUUUUUUUCUCAAGAACAAUAUUUGGAUUUUGCUCACUGCUUCGAUCUCGUUAUUCCGUCUUAUCGUGUUGUUGAAUCCGGGCUUUUUUCGUAGUGAAGUAAGGUGGAAGAAGAUUAUUUCUUGGAAUAUAAGACCUACGAGCUCGAGAAGUAGACGUUGGACAUUAGAUAGAGUUCAAGGUAUGUGAGGCUAGUCCUUUCUUUCUGUGGCAUGAAUUUUAUAGCUUGACUCUCUUUUAUCCAUGAGUUUCCUUAAGUUUCGGAAAAUAUGAGUCUAUGUCCAUAAUUAGCCACACAAGGUAAUGAGUAAAGUAUAGAAAUCCCAAUACUCAUGUUGUGAUGAUCCUAUGAUGUUAAUGAUGUUAUUUAUUGUUUACACUCACCUUAUAUGCUAAUUCCUUCAAGGUGAGGCAGGAUGUCAAUGAAUGUUCCAUAAUGACGUCGGAAGCCACCGACCUUACGUCACUCCGAUAUAGUUAUGGCUUUUGCUUGGGCUCUUAUGCAUGCUUUAUAUAUAUAUGUAUGUAUUUUCUCACACCGCGCCGCGCUAUAGUCGGCCGGGCAGGCACGUAGAUGUGCACACCACUAUAGUGGGCAGCUUAUACCCCGGACGCGGGAGGCUUGGACGCAGGCUAUGAUUAUCACACCGCUCCUACAUGGAUGGGCAGCUUAUACAUAUCACACCGUACCUGUAUGGACGGGCAGCUUAUAUAUGUAUACAUACAUGACAUGAUAAUCAUUAUGAGUAGACAAGGAGGUGAGCUUGAUCCAGAUUCUUAGUAGCUGUCAGCUGAUUGAGAGCACUCCAUUGUUCGGAGGUGCUUAUGAUUCUUCUUUUGGUAUAUAUGCAUAUUUUGGGCACAACGGAGGCUUGUUCCGUCUAUAUGUUUAGUAUGUCAGUAGAGGCUCGUAGAUACGCAGUGUGGGUCAGAUGGUCUCACAAGAUGUUAUUAUUAUGUAUAUAUUAUUUUGGUGGCCGAGAGGCAAAAGUGGUAUAAGUAUUUAUGUUUCUAUAUAAAAUAUAAUUUUCCUACAAUUCGUGUAUAAAAUUGGUAAAAGAGCAUUAAAUGAGUAAGAUGAGUAUUAGAGCGAGUGGUGCUCGGUGGCUAGCCCCGGGUACCCGUCACGGUCCCUAGCUGGGUCGUGACAGGGAGACUGAGUUGAUUGGCCCAGAUGUGGUCCAGCAGGCCGUGGAUAAGGUGAAACUUAUUCGAGAAAGAUUGUUGGCAGCCCAGAGCCGACAAAAAUCUUAUGCCGAUAAGCGACGUCGACCAUUAGAGUUUCAGAUUGGCGAUUGGGUGUUCCUGAAAGUGUCACCGAGGAAAGGUGUUAUGCGAUUUGGCAAGAAAGGAAAGCUCAGUCCGAGAUAUAUUGGGCCCUAUCUGAUUAUUCGCAAAAUAGGCAAGGUGGCCUACGAAUUGGAUUUGCCAGCUGACUUGGGAGCGGUACACCCGGUAUUUCAUGUUUCUAUGCUUCGUAACUGUAUUGGUGACCCUUCCAGAGUCUUUCCUGUAGAUGACAUUCAGGUCACAGAGGAGCUAUCUUAUGAGGAGCAGCCUAUAGCCAUAUUGGAUCGCCAGGUAAAAAGGUUGCAGAACAAAGAUAUGGCUUCUGUUAAAGUGCUGUGGCGGAACAAUAACCGAGAGGAAAUGACCUGGGAAGCUGAGGAGCAUAUGAAGAAGAAGUAUCCUCAUUUAUUUUCAGAGCCUACAGGUAAUCCAAUUCUCUAUUUGACUAUGUUGUUUGAUAAAUGAAUCGUUGAUCAAUGAUUGUAUUGUUGUGAUAGUUAGUAAUGAAACUCCCCCAAAUUGUUGUAUGACCGGUAAGGUUAAUCUGACAUUCGAGGACGAAUGUUCUAAAGGGGAGAAGGAUGUUAGAACCCGUAUUUUUGUACAGUGGAAUAAUUCGGAUUUAUUUAUGAUAAGCUAAGGACAAAAUUAUUUUGGAAUACAAAGUCGGGAUUCUUAACCUUCGAUUUUAUUUUGAGAUAUAAGUUGUGCAUGAAUUUAUUGGUAUGGAACAAUUAGAAAAAUUCGGGACCAAAAG